GCAGUCGAACGGCAGCACAGGAGAGCUUGCUCUCUGGGUGGCGAGUGGCGGACGGGUGAGGAAUAUAUCGGAAUCUACCCUUUCGUGGGGGAUAACGUAGGGAAACUUACGCUAAUACCGCAUACGAACUGAGGUUGAAAGCGGCGGACCGCAAGGCGUCGCGCGGAUGGAUGAGCCGAUAUCCGAUUAGCUAGUUGGCGGGGUAAAAGCCCACCAAGGCGACGAUCGGUAGCUGGUCUGAGAGGAUGAUCAGCCACACUGGAACUGAGACACGGUCCAGACUCCUACGGGAGGCAGCAGUGGGGAAUAUUGGGCAAUGGGCGCAAGCCUGAUCCAGCCAUGCCGCGUGUGUGAAGAAGGCCUUCGGGUUGUAAAGCACUUUUGUUGGGAAAGAAAAGCGGUCGGUUAAUACCCGGUCGUUCUGACGGUACCCAAAGAAUAAGCACCGGCUAACUUCGUGCCAGCAGCCGCGGUAAUACGAAGGGUGCAAGCGUUACUCGGAAUUACUGGGCGUAAAGCGUGCGUAGGUGGUUUGUUAAGUCAGAUGUGAAAGCCCCGGGCUCAACCUGGGAACUGCAUUUGAUACUGGCAGACUAGAGUGCGGUAGAGGAGAGUGGAAUUCCCGGUGUAGCAGUGAAAUGCGUAGAGAUCGGGAGGAACAUCAGUUGCGAAGGCGGCUCUCUGGACCAGCACUGACACU
rnacentral:rRNA from 1 species